GUUUUUUAUUCCGGUGAUUCUCAAACCUUACACCAUAGCAUGACUGAAUUGUGUACAGCUUUGUUUUUUUGGGAAGAUAUAGAAACAAGUUUUUGCCCUUCUCUAUUGAAGUAUACUUAACGAAUUUUAACACCUCCCGAUCGUUCUUCUUAAUGGUGAUUAUUUGUCGUUUUGUAUAUAUGAUGGCGGUCUUUGCCUCAACAAAUGGAUAAUUCGUAGAUCGGGUUUUUUUCGUUAAUAGUGUGCGUCCUGAUUUAACGUAAAGCUGUACUGCAGGCGUUCGUUUUGUAUUGUACACUCUGUGCGAGACAGAUCCCUGGUAACGGGUAAAUGAAUAAGUAAUUCACCCAGAAUUUUCCUAGCGGGUUUCCUAGAGGUUUCCUAUAGCGCAGAAUAUAUUCCACUCGAUUCGGCCAUUGUUAACAAAAAGUGUACGAAGCUCCUACUGAUACUGCCUUGGUGUUUCUCUAAGCACCUGAAUCUGCUUGGUGUUCAAUUCAAUACCGAAGCUUUUGAGUAAGUAAAUAAGUAAUUAGACAGUGGUGAUUCACCUGCGCGCAGCUACGUUUAAGAAGCCAAAAUGAAGCACAUGAUACUUGGAUCUGUUCGUAUAUUCGAAGGAAGUGUAUUUGCGAUAAGGAAGGCUGUUAUGAGCUCCGCAGCGACGAACAAGGACAAGACGAAUUUGCUCGUAUGGAUCUUCUUUGUAAAGGACAAUCAAGCAAUGCGUUAGCCUCUAUAAACGAGCCCAGUCAACUGAUGCCCUAACACAUUUGUAAUAAAUUGAGAAUACAGAAUUCGGCUAAAAAAAUGGGUUCCCGUGAAUUGGCUCUAGCCAGCUGGAAAUGUGUAACCUGUGUUCUACGUACAGUCUGCCGAACAGAAAAUUCGCUUGAAGCGUACGGUCGCUACAAAGCAGGCAGGCAUCGUUCAAUCCGAACUACCGGCUGGAGAGGGACGAGGCGAAAGAAUAGCGUCCCCCUGCCUUGAAACCGCUGGCAAUUUCGAUCAGCUUUGGCUUUAAGUAAUCAUUCAUUAAGCACCCUACGCGCUUUGUUCUGCUGGAGCACCGGUUUGUUUCAAGUUCGUCUUUCGACGUACUGGCCGCGCACGUCGAGACCACCAUCGUCGUGCUGCAUCGUUCCAUUCCAUUGGGGUUCCGAAGUACUCAAUGUCUUAAGAACAAUUCUCGCGAAAGCCAGGGCGACACGGCUAAUGAGGUCUUGACCGACGCUGCUGGCGGGGUAAAGCUAACGAACCAGCUCAGGCUCCAGGCAGAGCUGAAGUGAUUCUGUUAAUCGUACAAGAGAAAUGCCCACGAACCUGUUGCCAUUCCGAGGCGCCAAAAAUCUAGCUUGGCAGGAGUAUGGAAAAAUUGCUCAAAUCGGCACAUCGCAAUUCCGAACUUCCGCAAUAUUUGGCUUUUGAUUCAAGCUUCCAACUUUUAACUAGCCUGAAAUCUCGAGAGACUACAUGCUUCAAAGACACUUUUACCACGUUAUACGCUCUCAUAAUGAAAGGCAACAGUUUGUUUCUCACCAAGGAAUUGUAUAUCGACGAGAAAUCCUGCCUGAUACAGGCAUCAUGCAAGAUUUUUCGUUUUUAAUAAGUUUUAAAAUCUCAAAAAAUACGAAACGUUCGU